UAAUUAGCUAUCAGCCUCUCACCGAAUAAAGAUAAACAUGAACAUUAUAUCUUAAUUAAUUUUAUAUAUUUUCUACAAUUAUCAACCUUGGAUCGAUACAUUUUGCCCUAAAUAGCUCAUUAAUUUGCUCUAUAAGCAACAUGUUAUUAUGUACAAAGUUAAUUCAAUCUUCCCCUAGCUUAGAGGGCAUGACAGUACAUCAUUUUCUUCCUUUGGUUGUUGCAGAGACGUUAGCCGCUCAACUAGUAUGUCCAAGGCUUCCUUCAUCCACCAAUGUCUACAUACAUCUCUGGCUUCCUCCACAGUCAUCUGUAUCAAACAGUUUCACAUAUAAAUUAGGGCACACCACACCAAUUUGGUAAUUAUUUUACCAUUUUAUUUUGGUCGUUUUUCAAUUAAGAAUAUAGUUUAAUUAUAUUUAGAGGUUAAGAGUUCAAUUCUUUGAUGAAGAAACAAGAGAUUUGCAGACUGGUUGCUCACCCAAAUUCUUUGACGGACAUGUUUUUCUGGCCAGAGAUCAAGUUGCUCUGUGACUAGCAAAGGGAACAUAUACCCUUCAUAAAAUGUGCCAAGCCUUUUGCUCAAGAAGUUCCAUUUGCCUAGUUCAUCCUCAACAUGGCCAAGAACUCCAGCCUCUUCAAGACACUCCCUAGAAGCUGCUUCUUCCACAGAUUCAUCAAGCUCCCAGCCACCCUUGGGAAACAUCAUUUCUUGACCCUUCUGUGAAGUGAUGACAAGAACCUCCAGUUCAUCACCAAUGGAGCCAUAGCUGCAAUUCUUGAAUCUAUAUGGAAUGCAUCCUACAACUUGGCGGCGACCCUGGUUAUCAUAUCUCUGCAACUCCCUUCCUGAGCGAGAGAUCAAACAAGCCAUCUUCCAAAGACUUAUGUAUGUACGUAAAGGGGAAAAAAAAAAACUUCAACUAGAAAUAAUUGCCACUAGAAAUGAAUCAAAUUUUGUAAGUUGGUGAAUUGAAAGAGAAAAGGGUACGUGAGGGCUUGCUUUAAAUCUUCCUUUUCUAGUUCUAGUUCUAGUUUUAGUUUUUCUUGGGUUACACUAACACAAUCUUGGGAAUCAAUUACGUACAGAUUGGUUCUUAUAUGGUAGGAUAAAAAAAGAUAAUUAAAAAUAGUGGCAAUAAGCAGGCGAAAGAGAUAGAAGAAGGCACAGAUCAAGAACCAUGAAAGAGAUAGCUAGAGAAAGGCUGGCCAUACCAAUGAAACAAAAGGUUUAUA
rnacentral:misc_RNA from 1 species